GAUGAACGCUGGCGGCGUGCCUAAUACAUGCCAGUCGAGCGAACGGACGAGAGGCUUGCUUCUCUGAUGUUAGCGGCGGAAGGGUGAGUAACACGUGGAUAACCUACCUAUAAGACUGGGAUAACUUCGGGAAACCGGAGCUAAUACCGGAUAAUAUUAUGAACCGCAUGGUUCAAAAGUGAAAGACGGUCUUGCUGUCACUUAUAGAUGGAUCCGCGCUGCAUUAGCUAGUUGGUAAGGUAACGGCUUACCAAGGUAACGAUGCAUAGCCGACCUGAGAGGGUGAUCGGCCACACUGGAACUGAGACACGGUCCAGACUCCUACGGGAGGCAGCAGUAGGGAAUCUUCCGCAAUGGGCGAAAGCCUGACGGAGCAACGCCGCGUGAGUGAUGAAGGUCUUCGGAUCGUAAAACUCUGUUAUUAGGGAAGAACAUAUGUGUAAGUAACUGUGCACAUCUUGACGGUACCUAAUCAGAAAGCCACGGCUAACUACGUG
rnacentral:rRNA from 1 species